GUUGAUCGUACAAAUAAACAAAGCCAGGCGCACCCCGCGCUCCCCGCCGGAAAGCAGCCCAUUCCGGACGAGGACAACUUCCCCCAGCAAGAAAAUUAACACAUUCUCGCGGCGGUUCAGCCCCUCGCUCUGGGGAAGUAAAGGGGAGGGGGGCUCGGGGCUGAACUUCACGGGUAAAUUUGGGGCCAGAGCAGCGAGGCAGGCGUCUGGAACACCCGCCUCCCACAGCUCCGCAGCUAGAGGAACACCCCCAUUCUCCCUCCUGGCUUUGCAUGCUGCUUGGCCACGCGGGGCUCGGGAGACAGCCUGGAAGACUCCCCAAGGCUGGGGCGGAAGGGAGACACAGAGGCGGCGGGGAGGAGUGAUGGUGGUGGGGGGAGUGAUACUUGACGGGAAAAAAAGGGUCAAACUUGAUCAGCCCGCCAGGCACCCCGCGGGCAGCGGGAGUGAGGAGCCGGAGGGUAAAUGUAGAAGUGGCCGUCGACCUCGCUAAGUGAAGGCGGAGGCUCAGCCACGCGUGCUCCCGGGCCUUACGAGCAAUUAUCAUCGCCCCCAAAACACAGGGCUGCGAAUGGGGUCUGCUGGGGGGAGUGCGCGCCGGAGAUCUCCAAUCAGCCGCCCCCGCAGGCGGAGCGCCCGCCCAACGCCGAGAGUGAUCUGCGACCGAGCUGACUGCGGCUUGGGGAGGCUUGAGUAUAGCAGAGGCCACUGAGCGAUCACCGGAGCUAGGGCUCCCAGCCUCCGGGACUCCGGGACUCUGGUUACGGGCGCCCCCCGCCCCACCCAAACACGGACCCCUCCUUUCCCGUCCCUGGCUCUCCGCACCUGAACUUCGGGGGAGCCCGCGCCGCCAAACUUUCCGCCGACUUGCAGCGAACUCCGGCCCCGGCCGCGCACCGGGCCCCGGGGGAGGAGAGGGAGGCUCCUGGCCCCAGUCAGACUCCCAAGAGGCUCUUCAACACAAAGCUCUAUGUUUGGGAGCCACCACAUGACAAACCUGACUAGCUGAAAGCUGGAAUGACCUUAAGCACUUCAGUCUUCCUGUGGAUCUAUCUCAUCAAACAACCUAAUGAAGAUGUUUUAAAGUAUAAAAAACAAAAUA